CUCAAAAGGACAGAAAAUAGAUAGGUAGGUAGGUAGGUAGAUAGAUAGAUAGAUAGAUAGAUAGAUAGAUAGAUAGAUAGAUAGAUAGAUAGAUAGGGAGAGAGCUGAGCUGCCUGAGAAGCAUCUCUGAGGUUAGCAGCCACCCAGCCUCUUCAGACCCUGUCCCCCUGCCUCCACCCCGGGGCCCAGCUGCUGUUCCCUGACUCCCCUGACUCCCAGAAACUCAGAGCACUUCUCAGAUUUUAAAAAAAAAACAACGCAAGGGCGCACUUUCUCUCUCUUUCUGGAAUCAAUGAUGUACUUAACUAUUGCCAAAAUCCUUAGACUCCUUCGACCCUUUGCAGUCCGGCGGCUUCUGACAUCACUUCCUGUUGGCCGUGGCCGCGAUCCUGCGCCGCAGGGUACAUUUGUAUAUACUGCCGUUUGGAAGCUGGAAGGAUGCCUUGCACACUGUUGUAGUCUUUUGCCUGUCUGGUUUUAUUUGUUGUUCUUCUGCCUAACCACCUUUUUGUUUUUAUAACUGCUGGGGAGGCCCCUGGACGCUUGCACUGUAGCUAGGUCCCCGGCCGGCUGCUGCGUACUUGACUUUAUUGUAAACCCCUGGGCUCUGAGUAAGUCGUUUGAAUAUAGCAUCACGAUUGCACCUUUCUCUUCUUAUCCUGAGGGAAAGAAUCUCUCUGUCGCCUUCCGGUUGCGCCCUCGUAUCUGCCUCUCUAAUAAAUAUUAUUAUUUUUCUCA
rnacentral:lncRNA from 1 species